GGGGACGUAGCUCAGUAGGUAGAGUGGCAGGCUCCAGACCUGUUGGUCGCGCGUUCAAGUCGUGCCGUCCCCACCA
rnacentral:tRNA from 2 species